rnacentral:rRNA from 1 species
CCUACGGGAGGCUGCAGUGGGGAAUAUUGCACAAUGGGCGCAAGCCUGAUGCAGCAAUGCCGCGUGUGUGAAGAAGGCCUUCGGGUUGUAAAGCACUUUCAGCGGGGAGGAAGGCGGUGAGGUUAAUAACCUCCCCGCUUGACGUUACCCACAGAAAAAGCACCGGCUAACUCCGUGCCAGCAGCCGCGGUAAUACGGAGGGUGCAAGCGUUAAUCGGAAUUACUGGGCGUAAAGCGCACGCAGGCGGUCUGUCAAGUCGGAUGUGAAAUCCCCGGGCUCAACCUGGGAACUGCAUUCGAAACUGGCAGGCUAGAGUCUUGUAGAGGGGGGUAGAAUUCCAGGUGUAGCGGUGAAAUGCGUAGAGAUCUGGAGGAAUACCGGUGGCGAAGGCGGCCCCCUGGACAAAGACUGACGCUCAGGUGCGAAAGCGUGGGGAGCAAACAGGAUUAGAUACCCGAGUAGUC